UGCCUCUAUAGCUCAAUGGAUAGAGCAGCUUGCUUCUAACAAGCGGAUCUGGGUUCAAUUCCUGGUAGAGGCGU
rnacentral:tRNA from 1 species